AAGCCGGUGAAGGUCAACCGUGAGGUUGGCUGGAGGUAUCGGAAGUGAGAAUGCUGACAUGAGUAACGAUAAACAGUGUGAGAAACACUGUCGCCGAAAGACCAAGGGUUCCUGCGUAAAGCUAAUCUGCGCAGGGUUAGUCGGCCCCUAAGGCGAGGCUGAAAAGCGUAGUCGAUGGGAAGCAGGUAAAUAUUCCUGCACCAGCUGGAAGUGACGGAUGGCGUAAGUUGUCAGGGCUUAUUGGAUUGUCCUGGCAGCGAAGCUGUCCCUGGAAAUAACUCCAGCAGAGACCGUACCCGAAACCGACACAGGUGGGCAGGUAGAGUAUACCAAGGCGCUUGAGAGAACCGCGUUGAAGGAACUCGGCAAAAUACCCCCGUAACUUCGGGAUAAGGGGGCCCUUGCAUUGGGCAACCAGUGUGAGGGGGCACGGAAACGAGGGUGGCGACUGUUUACUAAAAACACAGGGCUCUGCGAAGUGGCUAACACGACGUAUAGGGUCUGACGCCUGCCCGGUGCCGGAAGGUUAAUUGAUGGGGUU
rnacentral:rRNA from 1 species